UUGUUGAUCAUACCAGCAAUGCAUCUUUGUUAUUGUGGGAUAGGGAAGGCAGCCAACUUUUAGGGAGAAGUGUGACAGAUUUUUUAGGAAAUGGUGGUCAGCAGGUUGCUCCUAAGAAUUCCAUUCCUGCACUUAUUGAAGAGAUUCUUGUGGGUCAGAAUGUCCUAUUUAAACUUCAGUUGAAAAAUCAUAUUGAGUAUUACAGAAGUUACCCAUUUACUGUGAACAAAGUUUGUAAUCUCACUGAAGUAGUUGACAAGUAUACACCUAAAGACUUGGGUGAACAGAUUUUUAAAUUUGAUACCAAGUUAUCUGAUCUACUUUUUGGAGCUGAUCUUGCUGAGGUUUCUCAAAAGCCUUAUGCUACAACUGAUCUGUCCAGCCUUGGUAAUGAGAAUAUCAGUGACUUAUUUGUUGAAGGAUCUGAAUUAAAUGUUGGAGUUGUUGUUGCUGAGGGUUCUCAGAAAGUGUUUGAUACACCUAAUCUGUCUACUGUUUCUAAUGAUAAAAAUCAUGGAUGGGGUGCUGAAGGCUCAGUAAAGCGAUGCUUGGAUUUAGAAUUUGACAGAUGUGCUGAUGUUGGUGAAGUUCAGAUGAAGAAGAAA